GUUGUAUAGUCAAGUAAUUAAGUGCAUGUGGUGGAUGCCUUGGCAGUCAGAGGCGAUGAAAGACGUGAUAGCCUGCGAAAAGCUCCGGGGAGGCGGCAAAUAUCCUUUGAUCCGGAGAUGUCUGAAUGGGGGAACCCACCUACUUUAAGGUAGGUAUUGCAACAUGAAUACAUAGUGUUGCAAGGCGAACGAGGGGAAGUGAAACAUCUCAGUACCCUUAGGAAAAGAAAUCAAUUGAGAUUCCCUCAGUAGCGGCGAGCGAACGGGGAUCAGCCCAUUAAGUUAUGUGUGUUUUAGUGGAACGCUCUGGGAAGUGCGAACGUAGAGGGUGAUAUUCCCGUACACGAAAGGGCACACAUAAUGAUGACGAGUAGGGCGAGGCACGUGAAACCUUGUCUGAAUAUGGGGGGACCAUCCUCCAAGGCUAAAUACUCCUGACUGACCGAUAGUGAACCAGUACCGUGAGGGAAAGGCGAAAAGAACCCCUGUGAGGGGAGUGAAAUAGAUCCUGAAACCGCAUGCAUACAAGCAGUGGGAGCACCUUCGUGGUGUGACUGCGUACCUUUUGUAUAAUGGGUCAGCGACUUAUAUUCAGUAGCAAGGUUAACCGUAUAGGGGAGCCGUAGAGAAAUCGAGUCUUAAUAGGGCGUUUAGUUGCUGGGUAUAGACCCGAAACCAGGCGAUCUAUCCAUGAGCAGGUUGAAGGUUGGGUAACACUAACUGGAGGACCGAACCCACUGUCGUUGAAAAGCCAGGGGAUGACUUGUGGAUAGGGGUGAAAGGCUAAUCAAGCCUGGUGAUAGCUGGUUCUCCCCGAAAGCUAUUUAGGUAGCGCCUCGGACGAAUACCAUAGGGGGUAGAGCACUGUUUCGGCUAGGGGGUCAUCCCGACUUACCAAACCGAUGCAAACUCCGAAUACCUAUGAGUACUAUCCGGGAGACAGACUGCGGGUGCUAACGUCCGUAGUCAAGAGGAAAACAAUCCAGACCGCCAGCUAAGGCCCCAAAAUCAUAGUUAAGUGGGAAACGAUGUGGGAAGGCAUAGACAGCUAGGAGGUUGGCUUAGAAGCAGCCACCCUUUAAAGAAAGCGUAAUAGCUCACUAGUCGAGUCGGCCUGCGCGGAAGAUGUAACGGGGCUAAAACUAUGUGCCGAAGCUGCGGAUNNNNNNNNNNNNNNNNNNNNNNNNNNNNNNNNNNAUGCUGGAGGUAUCAGAAGUGCGAAUGCUGACGUGAGUAACGACAAAACGGGUGAAAAACCCGUUCGCCGAAAGACCAAGGGUUCCAGUCCAACGUUAAUCGGGGCUGGGUGAGUCGACCCCUAAGGCGAGGCCGAAAGGCGUAGUCGAUGGGAAAAUGGUUAAUAUUCCAUUACUUCUGUGUAAUGCGAUGAGAGGACGGAGAAGGCUAAAUCAGCCUGGCGUUGGUUGUCCAGGUGAAAGGAUGUAGGCAUGUAUCUUAGGCAAAUCCGGGGUACUCUAUGCUGAGAUCUGAUAGCAAGCUGUACUUGUACAGCGAAGUGGUUGAUGCCAUGCUUCCAGGAAAAGUCUCUAAGCUUCAGUUACACAGGAAUCGUACCCGAAACCGACACAGGUGGUCAGGUCGAGUAGACCAAGGCGCUUGAGAGAACUCUGCUGAAGGAACUAGGCAAAAUGGUACCGUAACUUCGGGAGAAGGUACGCUGUUGUUGGUGAUGGAACUCGCUUCCUGAGCUGACGACAGCCGCAGAAACCAGGCCGCUGCAACUGUUUAUUAAAAACAUAGCACUCUGCAAACACGAAAGUGGACGUAUAGGGUGUGAUGCCUGCCCGGUGCUGGAAGGUUAAUUGAUGGGGUUAGCGUAAGCGAAGCUCUUGAUCGAAGCCCCAGUAAACGGCGGCCGUAACUAUAACGGUCCUAAGGUAGCGAAAUUCCUUGUCGGGUAAGUUCCGACCUGCACGAAUGGCAUAAUGAUGGCGGCGCUGUCUCCAGCAGAGGCUCAGUGAAAUCGAAAUCGCUGUGAAGAUGCAGUGUACCCGCGGCUAGACGGAAAGACCCCGUGAACCUUUACUGCAGCUUGACACUGAACUUUGACCUUACUUGUGUAGGAUAGGUGGGAGGCUUUGAAGCUGGAACGCUAGUUCCAGUGGAGCCGUCCUUGAAAUACCACCCUGGUAAUGUUGAGGUUCUAACUCUGUCCCGUGAUCCGGGACGAGGACCGUGUCUGGUGGGUAGUUUGACUGGGGCGGUCUCCUCCUAAAGAGUAACGGAGGAGUACGAAGGUGCGCUCAGCGUGGUCGGAAAUCACGCGUAGAGUAUAAAGGCAAAAGCGCGCUUAACUGCGAGACCCACAAGUCGAGCAGGUACGAAAGUAGGUCUUAGUGAUCCGGUGGUUCUGUAUGGAAGGGCCAUCGCUCAACGGAUAAAAGGUACUCUGGGGAUAACAGGCUGAUACCGCCCAAGAGUUCAUAUCGACGGCGGUGUUUGGCACCUCGAUGUCGGCUCAUCUCAUCCUGGGGCUGAAGCAGGUCCCAAGGGUAUGGCUGUUCGCCAUUUAAAGAGGUACGCGAGCUGGGUUUAGAACGUCGUGAGACAGUUCGGUCCCUAUCUACCGUGGGCGCUGGAAAUUUGAGAGGAUCUGCUCCUAGUACGAGAGGACCAGAGUGGACGAACCUCUGGUGUACCGGUUGUGACGCCAGUCGCAUCGCCGGGUAGCUAUGUUCGGAAGGGAUAACCGCUGAAAGCAUCUAAGCGGGAAGCCUACCUCAAGAUAAGAUUUCCCUAGGACUUUAUGUCCUCUAAAGAGCCGUUCGAGACUAGGACGUUGAUAGGUUGGAUGUGGAAGCAUAGUGAUAUGUGAAGCUGACCAAUACUAAUUGCUCGUGAGGCUUGACUAUACAACACCCAAGCAGUUG
rnacentral:rRNA from 1 species